UUUAUUCUUUCCUUUUUAUGAAAAACCAGGAUUGCCAUUCACCACCAGUCACCUUGCAUCUUUCCCAUUUCUAUGAUUUCUCAAGGAUUACCAACAGCUGACCAGUGUGAUUUCACCUGCAUGUUUUCUCAGCUCCUUUUGUUCCCUACAUAAGUGGGAGUCAACUGAAGUGAAAUUUAGGUGGCAAAUAAAGCAGGAAGCUUCCUCAGGGGCAAAGAAAUCUGCCUAUAGCUCCUUAAAAGAGACUUGUUAACAAGCAAUAGAAAUUAGAGCUGUGCUUCCUUAUUAGGAGUUCUGAACUGGAUUUUUAUGAAUUUUACAGUUGCAAAUUUUAAUUUUAGGUAAGAUGCCUUUUCCUUUCAAUACGUUAAUUUGCAGAGUACGUUAGCUACCUUGUUAAAGUGAAAACAAGCUAUAAUUAUGUGUGCUCAUAAACCAUCCUGCUGGGGCCACCCUUCAGGAAGGAAAACACAUACGGUGUGAUUGCACAAGGCUAUUUAUUUAACAGUACAUUUGGAAGAAGAUAAGGCAACAAGGCAAUAUUUUUAUAGUUUUGCUAGCAUUUUCCCAAGGUAAAGAGCCAGGAAACACCUUGUGCUGUUUUCCCAAGAACUCCUCUGUGGUAUCUCCCUAACUCCAUGCACAAACGCUAGACAUGGUGAAGUUGGGAAAGUUUUGAGGCAGCAAAAAGCUUGUUUUGUCCAUCACAAUUGGUUUGCAAACUGAAUGCCUGGUUUUGGUGUACUGCUUCGUUUGAUCAAGACAGAAUCCCUUCAGUAUUGAUAAUACUAAAUGUAUAAGGCCAGAUAAGUUCAAGGACUUGAGUUUAAGAACAUUUUACUGUUGCCAAUUGAUAAUAUAUAAACCCUGUCUUUUGUUUAUCCCAAAUGAUGGCAAAUUUUGUCUCAUCUUGACAAAAUUAUUCCAUGAUACAUAUUUCCCAUUUUGCUCAAGGGAAAUAAUAAUUCCUGGGCUGCUGUCUGGUAGAUGCCACAGCUGCAUUUUUAAGCUUGCACUUGCUUUGUAUCUCAUCAGCAAGGGCCUACUGUCCUUUGAGGUUGACUUAAUGUUUGCUCAGCUGUUAAAUACCUCCCUGCAUUUUUCCUGAUUUAAUAUUUCUAUAAACAGGAAAGUGUGUGAAAGUAAAAAAUGUAUACUAUUUACAGACUGAAAACUUUCUUUGAAUUUAUCAAGGGUUUAGUGACUCACUUUUGCAUUAUUAUAUGAUAUGCAAAUCUUUUACUUCAAUAUCUGAAAGUUCUUUAUGUCAGAUAGUAGUAUUAGUUUCAGCUAUAAUCAUCAGUUUAAGUAAAUGUUCCCAUAAUUUCGUGAUCCAGAUAAAAAGUGUUUCUCUGUGGAAACUUAGUCCUUGGCUGAUUUUCUUUCAUGAGAAGUCUUCAGGCAGAUUAGUUGUAACUUCAAAGUACUGAAAAACAGAGCCACUGUAAGGGAGAAAAAAACACAAAUCAGUGCAGUGAACAUUUUUUAAAUUAAAGGCUCUUUAAAAGUACCUGUAGUUUAUUCUGAAAGUUCAGGAAAACUGAUCCAAGGCUAAGAUACAAGUGCACUAGCUCACAUUCUUUCUACCUAGAGUCUAGCAUUUUACACAAGGUUAGUAGCUGUGUGUUAUUUGAAUCAGGUGGCCACAAAUCAUAUUACAGGGCUGAUUGGAUACACGAAACUUGAGAUUCAGACAACAUAUAAAUGAACAUUUUCACUUAUCUCUGCCUCAGAACAGUCACAUCAAAAGCCCUUAAACUAGUGGUUUUUAGCCUUGGUUCUGACUAGAAUGACCCUGGGGGAAUCAGAUUCUGAUUUUAAUUGACUGGGAUAGCACCUGGACAUCAGGAUUUAAUUAAAAAAAAAAAAAAAAACUCUUCCCCAGGUGAUUUAAUGUGCAGCCAAGGUUGAGAAUCACUCACACUGAAGGGGAGAUGAUCCUGACAUUGCUCAUCCUUAGCAAAGACUACUAGAUGUGGGAAUCUCUAGGAACCUGUGAAAGGAGAAGCUUAGGAGUAGGAGUGAGAGCCAGUGGCUAAGACCUUUCUUGGAGGAAAUGGGGUGAGACUGGACUGAGUAGGCAGGCCAGUAUAGACAGAGUUGGGAGCUGGGAUGGACAAGGAUAUCUAGCAAUGAUGAUAAGGAGCUAGAGUUUCCAGAACUUAAUGAUGUGAUAUGUUUUAUGUCACAGUGAUUGGCUCUACUUUGCCUUACAGUCUCAAUGCAGGGAUAUUUCCUAGUCUUCAUAUAGCAUUAAUCAAGUUAAGGUUAUUUGUAAACAGUUAAAAUCUAUUUUCAGUUGGCCAAAGAUUUAUGUCAUACUUCAUAUUAGCAGCCUUUUUAGUUGCUAACUUUCUCCAGAGUUCAAAAUUCAAGGAAGAGUUGCCAUUCUCGGACCAGAUUCCUUCUUAGCACCUUGCUCCUCUGUUUUGUGGGGAUGGGGUUGAUUACUUUGCCAUUUCCACCCUCUGCUGGCCAGCUGACCCACUCCUCCCCAUCUGGUUCAUUUGAAGGGAGAGAACUUUCCUUCAUGACAAGAGAACAUUUUGCAGCUUGCUUUUUGUGAAAUUGGAAUGCCAACUUAAUUUGGAUUGAUGAUUAUUUCGGAUGUGAGCAUUACUGGGAUUCCAGACAAUGAGUAAAAUGAUACUACAUAUGGCAAGCUUAUUUACUACUGUUAAUUUUAUUGUAAAGGUGGAAGAGAAAAGUAAUUUGCUCAGAAAGCAUUUAGAGCUGUUCUAAGGAUCUUUCCAAAACCCAAGUUGAAUUUCAUCCAGAGGGUUUCUUUAUAUAAGCACCUUCUCUCCUGCAUGCUAAUUAGCAGUUCAUUUUUCCAGCAGCAACCUGCCCUCUUUUCGUCUUAUUUUAACCUUGUCUAAACUCAAGGAAAGUUCAUGGGAGGACAGAGCCAUGUGUGUUUUCUUGGACUUGUGAAUCAAUUGGUGGGAACAACCACAAGAAAAAGUGCACUGUGGCAUUGGCAUCUCAGUGGCAUUUAUAGGCUUAUCCCGUAAGACCAGAGGGUUUUUAAAGCAAAGUUUUAAAAAGCAGGUCAACGAUCCAUGGGUCUCUGUCACUCAAGUAACCCCUUCUCCCCCCAUCCCCUUUAGGAGUGAGGUGGUCGGUGUAAAGCUGCAGACUUACAGAGAUAAGGUCGAGCUCUAUUGUUCCAGUAUUCUCGGGAUCCAGCUGCUUAAAUAUCUCUGGAGGAAGGAAAAGAAAAUGUCAUAAGUGAAUUAGCUGAACCAUGGAUCACAUUAAUCUUCUUCCCCUAUUUGGCAGGUUAUUUCACCUGCAGUGAAAGGUAGUCUGCUUUAAUACUGAGAAAACGGAAAUGGGUCUUUCCCCAAAUAACCACUUACUGAACAGUGUUUCCAGUCGAACUAAGCACCGAACAAAAUUAUCAAAAUCGAUGAUGAGCUCGUCAUCUGCAAACCGAGCAACGAUGACUUGGUGGAGCUGACAGGGCAGUUUGAAACCUGGAGUUACAAUGAACAAACAAACCGAUUGUGAAGUAUUAGAUGACAGUGUGUAGCUCUGUUCACCAGAUACAGAAUUAGAACUGCUCUUGUCUCUUGACUGCUCUUCUGUGAGACUUAUUUUGCAAAGCCAGUACCUUCUGUUAUUUCUUUUAUUUUCACAAUGUUUGCCCUUACCCUGACUGUUUCCUUACUGUUUUCUUCUAUUGACUCACAUUUCCCUGGCUACUGCUACCUUUUGUUUUGGACAAACCUAACUCCUGCUUCCCAAAGACUUUUCUUGCCUGAUGCUAUUUCCAUGGUCUGUGCUGCUUCAUGUCGUCAACUGUGCUGCAUUAUUUUUAUGCUUUUUGUUUGUUUAGCUCAGAAUCAUCUCAAAGACUAGAUUCUACCUCAUAUGUGUGGCAGAAACUGUUUGUGGUACCCCAAUAUUAAUUUUCCCUCUUUCCACAGGAAGAGAAUUUUUAAUGGACCCAUGGCUGCCUAGACUAAAGAUCAUAUUUCCCAGCUUCCCCUGCAGCUAUUUUCCACCUUGUGGCUAAGUUCUGGCCAGCGGGACGUGAGCAGAAGUGGUAUCGGCAUUAAAGGCAAGGAGCUGUUCUUCCCUUUUUCCAUCAACCCGCUGCUAGGAUGUGGUUGUGGUGGCAAACUGUCCUGGUCACAUGGUGAGGGCAACACUCUAAGGAAUGGCGAAGCAAAUGACAGGAGGAGCCCAGGUCCCUGACAGCAUGAAGGCACCAUCCCGCUUUGGACUGCUUGAGCUUGGCUUGUAACAUGGGGAGAAAUGUAUCUUAUUUAAACCACUGUUUUUUGUGGUCUCUGCAACAGCAUUAUACCCCAAUUAAUAAAGUGAACAACUUCAUCAUCUCA